AGGAGAGAAGAAAGAAGAAAGAAGGAGAAAGGAAAAGAAGAAAAAGAAAAAAGGGAAAAAAGGAGGAAGAAAAGAAAAGGGAGGGGAAAAUGGCGAAAGUAGUGGAAUUGACCGGCACACGUGAUGGAUUUGACGGGCACACAGGAAAAAUUACGGGGAAAGGAAAAAGAUGAUGUCGCGCUGGGUGAAGGGACGGUGGGGUUGCCGGGGAGGAAAAGAUUUCUCGGGAGCUCAACGGUCGGAAAAAUUUUGAAAUAAAUUUUAGCGAGUGAUUUGAGUUAGUAAAUUUUACGGGCGUUACAGUAAUGCACCCGCUUCAUUCCAAAGGUGGAUGAUGUCUAUCUUCUCAGACAUGAUCGAGGAAAUCAUGGAAGUUUUC
rnacentral:lncRNA from 1 species